UCUAACAUAUAUUUUAUCGGUUCUAUUUUUUUUACUACUACGGAAUGGGGGAGUAGGCAAGGCAUCGCGUCGGAGCCCGAGAUUUCGGUGGAAUCACAGGAGAAUCUGCCGCUCCAAAUCGGUGGCAAGGCCAUCUGGAUCUCGGCCGACCACGCAUCGCCGGGAGGCUCAGUGCUGCUGCUAGAGACAACGCGGGAGGCAGGAAUCUCGCCUCCUGACCGGCAUCAGAUGGUGAUUUCAUCGGGGUUCCCUAUAGGUGCCAGAGCAAGGGCGAGGAGCCAAACCAUGCGUUGAGGAUACGCAACUAAAUGACCGCAAUGCCACCGACGUGCUCUCUCACAACUAAACCUCGUAGACUUGCUUGAUGCCAUCCUUGGCUCAGUUGUAGCCUUGACCAGACUUAGCGGGCGAGCGUGGUGUUUGCCUUCUUCACCUCCCUCGAGCGCUGCUCCUGCAUCAACCUCGGCACUGCCGAGGAUGUCAACGAUGAAACCGAGGAGGCCAAGGACCGACCCCUCUUUCUCACAAAGCCCAUCCUCCACCGAGAGGAUCCCAAACACUCCUGUCUAGUGGCCAUCCUCAUGGAAACCUAAAUCCUUGAAAUCGAUUGAAUGAUUAUGGAGCAUUUCCUAUAAGGAAACUAGCUACAACCUUGUGUCAUCUACCUACUGGAGGAGUAGGAUUUGUGAGUAUAUGCAAUGGUUAAUUCAUAACCAGUCAUUGAACCGUAUGUAAAUUUCGAUUGUACCCUAAGCUAUUACUAAAAUCAAGUUUUAUUAGUAAUUUGCAUCUGCAAGCCUUUCUGAAAUAGUAGGGAUAUAAAUGUCAGUGGAAAAGUUAUUCUUAACAUACUGAAUAACCAAAUUUAGUGCAUGCUGGAUUUUGACUUUUCUUCACCAAGCAUUUCUUACUUUUAUUGCUCAACUACAUAUUUUGUUUUCCUGGCAACUAUUGUUUAUCAGGCUAGGAAUUUUAGAUGCCUAAACAAAACUAUUGCUUGCAAAAUCUUGUGUACUUCCCUUUGGUACUAUUCUUCAUGCCCGAAGAUAUGUUGUAUUUCUCCAUUCCAAUUAUAUUGAAGCCCCACAAGCUAAAUUGCUUAGCUGAUGGGUAUGGUGGGGAAUAUGUAGUUUAUUGAUGAGAUUUAAUGGAUGUUUAACACGCUUUUUCCCUCCACUUACUAGAGUAACGAUGAUCAAUUAUGUAUCACAACAUAGUUGAUAAACUGGUGGUGUUAAAAUUAUACUCUAUAAACCUUUUGAGUCACUAUUGUAUGAGAAUAGCUCUUGUAUUAGGGAAACGAAGUUGGUCCUACCUGAUGGCCAUAAUUGUUACAUCUGAAAUCUUGAAGAUGUUCAAGAUAUGCCUGUUCAUCUACAUAUUUGGAUAAUUUAUUCAUAUUAUACUUAUAUUUUCGGUGUUAUUUACCAUGCUCUUAAUUUUUUUAUAUUCUGCUGGAAUCAUUUUAAAUUAGUUUUGCAAUUACAUAGUUCGAUGAUGCGAUUCUCCUUUAGUUAUAAAUAUAUUGAUGCUACUCUCCUCUAACAUGAAUGUAGUGUUAUGAUAUGAUUCCAGAAUGAUUGUUUUUUCUAUUUAAGAUUUCCCUAUAAAGGUUACAUUGUCAAUUGGUGUACGGUGGUCAUGUAUUGUUGGAGUCAAAUUUUAAUAAGACAAUUAAAUAGCCCACAUUGUUUAUAAUGAUCUUUUAUACUCAUUACAAUUGUCAUAUUUUUCUUUUGUUAAGGUGUGGUAACAUUCCAUGAUUUCUUAGACUCUGUAAUUAUAAGUUAUUAAUUCAAUCUCUGGUAGAAAUGAACUGACUACUACAUAGAACACUUCCAAAUUAUAUUAGCAUACCUUUCAUGAUUCAUUUAACUUUGUUUUUGAUGUAAUGGAUAGUUUGGUUGUAUUUGUCUCUAAUUGGCAGAAAGGAACACUGGGUGAAGGGAUUAUUAUUGUUCUAUAUACACUAUAAAAUAUAUCCAUGGGUAAACUCCUUAAGGGUCACAUUUUGCUUAUCUUUCCUGGAACUUUGAAUGUGGAUCUGGAGACUGAAGCUUUAGUCUGGUUCCAGUGGAUCAGUUUCAGCAUUGACAAGUGGUCACAAGCUUUUUCAAGUCUUUCAUCCUUACUUCCUUGCUACUUCAAUGGAUGACAUGACAUUGAGGACCCACUGAAAUAUCAAUAAGUUAUUUUAUUUGUGGAGAUGUGACAUGAAAGAGACUCAUGGGAUUGACUUACCAGAUACCCCUAAUUUUUUCCUCAAAUGAUCGUUAGAUAUGGUAAGUCAACUUGCCACCUUUCUUAGAUGGUACCUAACUAAUAAAAAAGUAUUAAUAAAUUUUUUUCUUGUGGUCCACUUAGGUUUUCUAGCAAUGAUUCUGCAAUGAAAAUGAUGUUAUCAACCAAACAUUUUUUUUUCCAAUACAUGUGAAUAUAUGUGUAAAUUCAUUAAUCAUGAUUUUCUGUCAUGUUUUAAAUUAAAUGACACAUUUUUAUGUCUAAUUUCUGUUGACCUAUGGCUGAUGUAACAAAAAUUACAAUAAGCAAGUAUAGCCAUUACUAUAUUACUAUAAAAUUUGAUCAAUUCAUAAAAAGACACAUGAUGAUAUGUUUCUCUUGUAUUAUAAGUAUAUGUAGAGUUUUGGUCAACAUAUUAUUAUAAGUUUUUGCUCUACUCUUAUCAUGUAAGUAUGUGAUCAUGAUUGGUAUUAAACGUUAUGAGUGAUAUAUUUUAUAUUUGUCGUUUUUCCUUUCAAAGUAAUUUUUUUUAGCUAUCUGCAGAUGAAGUGCAAAGUAAUGAAAGAAACAUCUGAAUGAUAAAAUUAUAUCUUGAUUGACAUAUAUAGUUGCAUUGUUAACUUUUAUAACAUUUGAAACGUGGGGGCAUAAAUUAAAAUAAAAGAUCCUUUUUAGAAUUGCUUUCUUUAUUUUCUAAAAUGGAUGAUAACUUCUCCAUAUGCAAAUUUUAUUUGAACAAUAUAUACAUGUUCCCUUGUCAUUUAAAUGAAAUACUUGGGUUUUGUAUCUUAGCGUGCAUGUAUUAUGUUUUCUAAUUCUUUUUUUUUUCUUAAAAAAAAUAAGCUUCCAUGUAAAUCUAUGACUGCAACGUAGCUACAAUGACCUUGAUCACUAGAACCAUCAUUGUUUUUUAAUACCUUAAAAUGGUAAUGAUUCAUGAAUGCCUUGAAAUUAUAAUUUACUUCUUAGUACUUCAUUUCUCUCUUAUUUGAUACCUUGAAUGUCUUGAAAUGGUAAAAAAAAUUACUCAUUUAAAAUUUACAUCUUAGUACCUCAUUUCUCUCUUUAUUUAUUCAUCAUAAUUCCCCAAAUCCCAUGUCAUGAUAUGUAUAUUAGUCACCAUGCUAUAACUUUGACAUUAUUUUAAGUUGUGAUGAAUUUAUUUAAAAAUCAUUAAUCUGGUAUGUUUAAGAGGAGAAUAUAUGCAAAUUUUCAUGGUUUUAAGUAUUUAAUGGUUUCUUUUCUAAUUGUUAUGUGGUUCAUUUUGUAAGAACUUCAUGAUUAUCCAUUUAAAGUAGUAUAUGUUAACUUGAUGUGGGGGAGUACUCAUGGUAGUCUCCAUGCUGCAUGUGGUAGAUUGUUGGUAAGUUUUGGUGGUUGGCACGGUGCAAGAAUAUCAAAACAAGUGACAAAUUCAAAUAAUCUUGAUUUGCACUUGCUGAUUAUUUCAUGUUUAGCAGUUUGAUUCCAAUGUAGUCAUGAUUUAUUUUACUUUUGAAUUUGAGGCUUUUUCUGUUAUCUUAUCCCUUCAAAUUAUGUGGUUAAAUAAUUAAAAUUGUUAGAUGUUUGAUGCUUAUGGUAAUCAAAUUGAAGAAGGUAUAGCAGUGUUCAUUCUUGUGCAUCCUAUUUUAUAUAUUUUUUUAUUGUCAAUCUAACGACUUAUUUUUAUGUAAGUAUGUAACUAUGACCUCAUUUAGAUGCAAAAGAUAAUGUAGAAGAGAGUGCCUAGGAAUGAAGAAAAAAGAACAUAGAAGUAUAUCUUUUUUUAUCCUUAAUACAGGAUGCAAAAGACAAUGUAGUAAUUUUGAUUUUGAUAUGACAUGGACUUUGUGAUUGUAUGAACUUUAAUAUUGACUCUUAGACAAAAUAAUGUGGAUUUUGUGAUUGUAUUAUCUUUAAUAUUCAUGUGGAUGUUUUCGUUAUAAAAAAUUCUGAUAUGAUUUUAAAAUUAUUAAAAAUUCAGAGGUUGUCAAGAAAAUUAUUAUUGACAGUUUUUGUUGAUAAUAUGUCACUAGUGUACUUUAUCACUAAUGUUGUUUUUGUUAAUAGCUUGUCGCUAAUGAACUACCUCACUAAUAUUAUUUUUGUCAAAAUAAAUACUAGUGAUAGAUCCAAGUAAUUGUCACUGAAGCUUUUUAUCUAAAAUUUUAGUGACAGAUUAGUUAUCAUUGAAUUAUCAUCAUUAUUUUCAUUAAUUAGAAAUUAGUGACAGAUCAAGCUGUCACUAAAAUUUUUUGUCAUGACAUUUAAUGACAGAAUCAUCCUUCACCAAAUAUUGUCACAUACAUUACCUUGUCAAUUUAUUUAUUUAUUUUUAAUGAUAGAAUUUGAGUAUAUUAAUAAAAAAAUAAGUCAUUAAAAUUUAUAAUUUUGUGAUAAGUGUGCCUAUUGUGUUCGCUAAAGCUUUCAAUCAUGAUACUUAGGUCGACUGAAGUUGGUGAUAGCUCGCAUCGUCACUAAUUCUUUUAGUGAUAUUUUUUUAACUUUUGGUGAUAAUUUUCAUCCAUUACUAAUGAGCAAGUUGAAAUUUAUGUUCAAAAGUAUACUUUAAGGGGAGGACUAAAGUUUAAAGUUAUAUCUUUUAAAGGAUCUUAAGAUUUUUAUCUUCUAGAUAAAUUGAUUAGAUAGAGUUUUAAUUGAUUAAAAUAAAAGAUGUGAUAAUAUUCUCUUAGUUUAAGGUGUUAUUUUACACUUAUAAAUAGAUGAUACCAUAGAUGUGUAGAUUUAUUCAAGUCUCAAGCAUCCAAGCAUAUAGGACUCAAGUCUAGAGUUAGAUCAAGAUCUUGUGAGUUUUUUUUUUUUUUUUUUCAUCUUGAUUUCUUCUUUUUUAUUUGGUUUAAUCUUGGACUAAUAGUACUUUAUUAUUAUUAUUUAAGAAAGGAUUAUAAUUAUAUGUGAUCCUCUCUUUCUUCACGAUAAUAAUAAUAUCAAAGUUGUAGUAGUAAGAAUCAAAUAUAAGGUUAUCCCGUAGAGUAAUUCCAUCCAAUAACUCCAGUUGGAUCAGGCAGUUAUUUCCUAAAGCUUUUGAGCAUCUUAAGAAUGGUUUUUUUCGAUUGAUUAGACCUGGGACUUCCACUGACAUUUAUUCUGAGUCCUGGAUAUUCGAAAUGCCUUUUUAUUCAAGCCUACUUCCUUCGAUAUCUCUUCUGGCAUGGAUUUUGAAUCAUUCAUGACACUAUUUGGUUCCCUAAGUCCCCAAGGAAGAUACAUGGCAUUGGAGGCAUAAUGUGCAUGACAAAUCUUCUAUCAUAUCUGCCUUCAAAUUUCUUCCACCCUUUGCAGGUUCAAGCCUUCCAUCAGUUGGCACGGAUGGCACCGUGCUUGGAGACUUUUCAUCGUUUCUCAGCUUAAAGUAGGGGGUGCAUCUUGACCACUUUUCUAUUUGGAUGAUGUCCUCCUGCAAGCGCUGUUGGGGCUUUUUAUUGCCAUUGUUUUUUGGUUUCUUCGGAAGGAGAUUAAGCAACCAUAAUAUGAGGUAUUAAAGAGGGCAUUCAGGCUGCUUUUGGAAUUGGGAUUCAAUUGCUGCUCCACGCUGAGCCUGAUUCCAUGGCUAUGGUGGAUUGUCUCAAAUACACUGCUGCAAAUGUUAUCAACGUUAGGUUAUCCAUCUUUCGUGAGGGUAAUUGUCCUGCUAACUAAGCUUACAAACCACACGAGCUGUCGUCAAUUUUUGUACUUGGUCAUCCGGUUUGUAGUGAUGCCAUUGGAGAUACGUGUAGUAGACAUGCUUAAUCCUCCUUAAUACAAGCUCUAUUUUUUAUUGGA